AUGGCAGAAUCACUGCUUCUCCCUGUGGUGCGCGGCGUGGCCGGCAAGGCCGCAGACACUCUGGUCCAGACCGUGACCCGCAUGUGUGGCCUCGAUGAUGACCGCCAAUCGCUGGAGCGCCAUCUGCUAGCCAUCGAGUGCAAGCUGGCCAACGCGGAGGAAAGGAGCCAGACGAAUGUCUACCUCAAGAGCUGGAUGGAGAAGCUCAAGGCCAUCACCUACGACGCUGACGACGUCAUCGACAAUUUCCAGUACAAGGCACUGCGCCGCAAUGCUCAGAUCGGCAAUUCCAACCCCCGCACGAUACUCGACUAUGUCACCCACCACAGUCCACUGCUCUUCCGUUUCGCCAUGAGCGGGAAGCUUAAGUCUGUCCUCGAGAAGAUCAAUAACUUAGUGGAGGAGAUGAACAAGUUUGGCCUUGAGAAUUCUGUCCAUCGAGAGGAGCCGCAAUAUCGUUGGCGGCAGACGCACUCCAGGCUGGAUGAGUUUACCAAGAUAUUUGGAAGAGACCAUGAAAAGGAUGGGGUGGUGAAGGUGCUGCUAGACCAACGAGAUCAGAGGAAGGUGCAAGUGCUGCCCAUCUUUGGUAUGGGAGGUCUUGGCAAGACGGCACUUGCUAAGAUGGUGUACAAUGAACAAGUGGUCCAACAACAUUUCUAG
rnacentral:rRNA from 1 species